rnacentral:rRNA from 1 species
UACGGGGGGGGCAAGCGUUGUUCGGAAUUACUGGGCGUAAAGGGCUCGUAGGCGGCCAACUAAGUCAGACGUGAAAUCCCUCGGCUUAACCGGGGAACUGCGUCUGAUACUGGAUGGCUUGAGUUCGGGAGAGGGAUGCGGAAUUCCAGGUGUAGCGGUGAAAUGCGUAGAUAUCUGGAGGAACACCGGUGGCGAAAGGCGGCAUCCUGGACCGACACUGACGCUGAGGAGCGAAAGCCAGGGGAGCAAAACGGG